GGUUUUUUAGUAUAACAAGUACACAAAAUUGCAAAUUUUUAGGUUAAAAAGCCU
rnacentral:tRNA from 1 species